rnacentral:rRNA from 1 species
GACGAACGCUGGCGGCGUGCCUAAUACAUGCAAGUCGAACGAACUCUGGUAUUGAUUGGUGCUUGCAUCAUGAUUUACAUUUGAGUGAGUGGCGAACUGGUGAGUAACACGUGGGAAACCUGCCCAGAAGCGGGGGAUAACACCUGGAAACAGAUGCUAAUACCGCAUAACAACUUGGACCGCAUGGUCCGAGUUUGAAAGAUGGCUUCGGCUAUCACUUUUGGAUGGUCCCGCGGCGUAUUAGCUAGAUGGUGGGGUAACGGCUCACCAUGGCAAUGAUACGUAGCCGACCUGAGAGGGUAAUCGGCCACAUUGGGACUGAGACACGGCCCAAACUCCUACGGGAGGCAGCAGUAGGGAAUCUUCCACAAUGGACGAAAGUCUGAUGGAGCAACGCCGCGUGAGUGAAGAAGGGUUUCGGCUCGUAAAACUCUGUUGUUAAAGAAGAACAUAUCUGAGAGUAACUGUUCAGGUAUUGACGGUAUUUAACCAGAAAGCCACGGCUAACUACGUGCCAGCAGCCGCGGUAAUACGUAGGUGGCAAGCGUUGUCCGGAUUUAUUGGGCGUAAAGCGAGCGCAGGCGGUUUUUUAAGUCUGAUGUGAAAGCCUUCGGCUCAACCGAAGAAGUGCAUCGGAAACUGGGAAACUUGAGUGCAGAAGAGGACAGUGGAACUCCAUGUGUAGCGGUGAAAUGCGUAGAUAUAUGGAAGAACACCAGUGGCGAAGGCGGCUGUCUGGUCUGUAACUGACGCUGAGGCUCGAAAGUAUGGGUAGCAAACAGGAUUAGAUACCCUGGUAGUCCAUACCGUAAACGAUGAAUGCUAAGUGUUGGAGGGUUUCCGCCCUUCAGUGCUGCAGCUAACGCAUUAAGCAUUCCGCCUGGGGAGUACGGCCGCAAGGGUGAAACUCCAAGGAAUUGACGGGGGCCGCCCAAACGGGGGAGCAUGGGGUUUAUUUCGAAGCUACGCGAAGAACCUUACCAGGUCUUGACAUACUAUGCAAAUCUAAGAGAUUAGACGUUCCCUUCGGGGACAUGGAUACAGGUGGUGCAUGGUUGUCGUCAGCUCGUGUCGUGAGAUGUUGGGUUAAGUCCCGCAACGAGCGCAACCCUUAUUAUCAGUUGCCAGCAUUAAGUUGGGCACUCUGGUGAGACUGCCGGUGACAAACCGGAGGAAGGUGGGGAUGACGUCAAAUCAUCAUGCCCCUUAUGACCUGGGCUACACACGUGCUACAAUGGAUGGUACAACGAGUUGCGAACUCGCGAGAGUAAGCUAAUCUCUUAAAGCCAUUCUCAGUUCGGAUUGUAGGCUGCAACUCGCCUACAUGAAGUCGGAAUCGCUAGUAAUCGCGGAUCAGCAUGCCGCGGUGAAUACGUUCCCGGGCCUUGUACACACCGCCCGUCACACCAUGAGAGUUUGUAACACCCAAAGUCGGUGGGGUAACCUUUUAGGAACCAGCCGCCUAAGGUGGGACAGAUGAUUAGGGUG